CUACGGGAUGCAGCAGUCGAGAAUAGUCUACAAUGGACGAAAGUCUGAUAGUGCGACGCCGCGUGGAUGAAGAAGCAUUUCGGUGUGUAAAGUCCUUUUCUGUGUGAGCAAUGUUUUCCAGGUUAAUAGCUUGGAGAAAGCGAUAUUAACACAGGAAUAAGCUCCGGCUAACUCCGUGCCAGCAGCCGCGGUAACACGGGGGGAGCAAGCGUUGUCCGGAAUUACUAGGCGUAAAGGGUAAGUAGGCGGAAUUGUAAGUCAGAUGUUAAAGGCACCGGCUCAACCGGUGUAUGGCAUUUGAUACUGUGAUUCUAGAGUAAGGUGGGGGAAGACGGAAUUCCUGGUGUAGCGGUGGAAUGCGCAGAUAUCAGGAGGAACACCAGAGGCGCAGGCGGUCUUCUAUACCAUUACUGACGCUCAAUUACGAAGGUGUGGGUAUCAAACAGGAUUAGAUACCCUCGUAGUC
rnacentral:rRNA from 1 species